rnacentral:rRNA from 1 species
UACGUAGGGUGCAGGCGUUUAAUCGGAAUUACUGGGCGUAAAGCGUGCGCAGGCGGUUUGCUAAGACAGGUGUGAAAUCCCCGGGCUUAACCUGGGAACUGCGCUUGUUACUGGCAGGCUUGAGUGUGGCAGAGGGGGGUGGAAUUCCACGUGUAGCAGUGAAAUGCGUAGAGAUGUGGAGGAACACCGAUGGCGAAGGCAGCCCCCUGGGCUAACACUGACGCUCAUGCACGAAAGCGUGGGGAGCAAACAGG